CCCUUUUGAGGAGGUGAGGGUGUAUGGGGAGGCAACCUGGGGCUGAAGCAGAGGGAAGCUGGAGAGGCUGGAGGAGAGGCCCUGGGUCCAGCAAGUGCUCCACCAGGCUGCCCCUGCUCAGGUGCUCCACAGCCCAUAAAAAACACCUUCAGCCCUACUGCACCUCCCCUCACACCUAAACUUACUAAAAGGGUCCUACUAAGGGAAGAGACCACCCCUCAUAUUGUCUUAUGCCCAAUUUCUGCCUCCAAAGAAAGAAGUAAAAACUGAAAGGCAGAAAUGAAAUCCACAGGCAGACAGCCCGGCGUGGCACCCUGGGCCUGGUAAAGAUCGACCCCUGACCUAAUUGGUUAUGUUAUCUAUAGAUUACAGACACUGUAUAGAAAAGCACUGUGAAAAUCCCUGUCCUGUUCUGAUCUGAUUACCGGUGCAUGCAGCCCCCAGUUACGUACCCCCUGCUUGCUCAAUCGAUCACGACCCUCUCACAUGGACCCCCUCAGAGUUGUGAGCCCUUAAAAGGGACAGGAAUUGCUCACUCGGGGAGCUCAGUUGUUGGAGAUGUAAGUCUUGCCGAAGCUCCCAGCUGAAUAAAGCCCUUCCUUCUUUAACUCGGUGUCUGAGGAGUUUUGUCUGCAGUUUGUCCUGCUACAUUUCUUGUUUCCCUGACCGGGAAGAGAGGCGAUUGGCGGAUGGUCAAGGCAGCUCCUUAGACGGCUUAAGCCUGCCCUGUGGAAAAUCCCUGCGGGGGACUCCGACCAGCUCGAGUGACGCGGAUCCUGAGAGCGUUCCUGGGUAGGCGUUUGCCCCGGUGGGACGCCUCGUCAGAGCAGUGCGUGGCAGGCCCCCGUGGAGGAUCAACACAGUGGCUGAACACCGGGAAGGAAUGGGCACUUGGAGUCUAGACAUCGAAAACUUGGUAAGACUGGUCUUUGGAACUUGCCUACUCCAUUUGAGUGGACGCGUGGCCUGAUCACCCAUGGCGUGCCUUUAUCGGCACUUUGGUUUUGGUUUUGGUUUUGACUUGGUUUGAACUGCUUGACGGGACCAGUCUUGGGAACUUGCCCACUCCACUUGAGUGGAAGCGUGGCCUGAUCACCCAUGGUGUGCCUUUAUCAGCACUUUGGUUUUGGUUUUUGACUUGACUUGGAUUGCUUGAUACUUUGGUUUUGGUUUUGACCUGGCUUCGAUUUCCUGACACUCUGAUUUUGGUUUUGAUUCUGGUUUGGCAUAAACUGUAAAAGUGUGUGUGUGCCCUUUUUACCUGUUCUUUGUUUUCUGGUGUCAGUAUGGUGUUUUGUCUCGAGGAGACAUGGGUGAGGCACAAAGUAAGCCCACCCCACUAGGAACUAUGUUGAAAAUUUUCAAGAAAGGAUGUAAGGGAGACUAUGGAGUACUAUGACACCAGGAAAACUUAAAACUUUGUGUAAGAUAGACUGGCCAGCAUUACAGGUGGGUUGGCCAUCAGAAGGAAGCCUGGACAGGUCCCUUGUUUCAAAGGUAUAACACAAAGUAACCUGUAAGCCAGGGCACCCAGACCAGUUCCCGUACAUAGACACUUGGUUACAGCUGGUUUUAGACCCCUCCCACAGAGGUUGAGAGAACAGCAGCAUAAGCAGCUGGCAGAGGCAAGGAAAGACCAGCAGAGAGAGAGAGAGGAGAGAGAGAGGAGAAGAGGCAAAGAGAGAGAGGAAGAGACAGAGAGACAGAGGGAGACAAGGAGACAGAGAGAGAGGAAGAGACAGAGGCAAAAGGAAAGUCAAAGAGAGACAAAGUCAAAGAGAAAAAGAAUAAAGAGAGACAGAUAUACAAGUAGUUAAGAAAAUACAGUGUACCCUAUUCCUUUAAAAGCCAAGAUAAAUUUAAAACCUGUAAUUGAUAAUCCAAGGUAUUCUCUGUAACCCUGUAACACUUCAAUACCACUUUGUUGUCAGUGUAAACAAGGGCAUAUCCCGAAAGCACUGAGGCCACUGAUAACCUGUAGCCUUCAGAUCAAAAAUCCUUAACCCAGUAACCCGCGGAUGGCCCAAAUGCAUUCAAUCUGCAGCGGCAACUGCUUUGCUAACAUAAAAAAGUAGAAAAAUAACUUUUAGAGGAAACCUCAUUGUGAACACACCUCACUAGUUCGGUUCAGAACUAUCCUAAAUCAAAAAA
rnacentral:lncRNA from 1 species